AAGCCUGCAAAGUAGAUUGGAUAUAAUCUGUGAUGAGACGGAUGUUGAUUCACACGAUGUUGGAAGGCAAGUAGGUGAUGACGAUGUAUCAGUUGAAAAUCCCGUUUCCCAACUUGUGCUGCAUUUAUUGAGGUAAAGUGUAAUUUAUAAUGUGAUAUUUACAUAUCACUCAUUGAUAUACUCCAAUUUUCUGUUCCGAGACGUCUGUACCUAGUGUAUAUGCUUGUUCCUGAGUCCUUGAUUACAUGAUCAAUUGAGACAUUUUAUUCUUGGUACCUUGUUACGAUGUUGUUGAUUGUAUAUAUCUUUGUAUUUAUUAUCUGAUUCUGUUUUUAUUACGAUCCUAUUAUUAUGGGAUUAUGUUUACCUAGCCUCUUGUAUAUAUAGACUUGUAAUUCUCUUAUGAAUAUACAGUGAAAUAUUCAGAUUUAAGUUGGUACCAGAGCACUCUGGUUCAACCCUUUAUUUUCUAUUUCUCAGUUUUUAUUUUUUUUAGGGUUUCAGCCGCCGGGAGCGCUGACCCAGUAACCCUCCUUUUUUUUUCC
rnacentral:lncRNA from 1 species